CCUACGGGAGGCAGCAGUGAGGAAUAUUGGUCAAUGGACGAGAGUCUGAACCAGCCAAGUAGCGUGAAGGAUGACUGCCCUAUGGGUUGUAAACUUCUUUUAUAAAGGAAUAAAACGACUCACGUGUGCCUUUUUGCAUGUACUUUAUGAAUAAGGAUCGGCUAACUCCGUGCCAGCAGCCGGGUAAUACGGAGGAUCCGAGCGUUAUCCGGAUUUAUUUGGGUUAAAGGGAGCGUAGAUGGGUUGUUAAGUCAGUUGUGAAAGUUUGCGGCUCAACCGUAAAAUUGCAACGGAUACUGGCAGGCUUGAGUACAGAGGAGGCAGGCGGAAUUCGUGGUGUAGCGGUGAAAUGCUUAGAUAUGACGAAGAACCCCGAUUGCGAAGGCAGCUUACUAAAGUGUGACUGACGUUGAUGCUCGAAAGUGUGGGUAUCGAACAGGAUUAGAUACCCUUGUAGUC
rnacentral:rRNA from 1 species